UUUUAAUCUCGCGUAACAUUUAAAAAAACAAGUUUUAAAAAUUUACAAUCAUCAUAUGUAAAACAUGUCGAUAAAUGUAAAAGAUAUUGUUGUAAAGCAUGUACCAUCUCGAUUUAAAGUCCUUUUAUGGAUUUACUUUAGGGGUGGUGAACAAAAGGUGACAAAUACCGUUUCGUCUUCAAAAGGAAUUGCUCAAUUUCAGCCACAAUUAUGGACUUUUUCGAAAACUAUAGAAAAUGAGUCUCUUACUUUUGAGCUUUAUCAGGAGAAAGGGGGGCUAUACAAGUUGCUUGGAAAAUGUCACAUAGCAUUUGGAAAAUUUCAAAAAUCAAUUGUUUUAAAAUUUUACGGAAACAAAUUUCUUAAUGAAAAAAAGAAGGAAAUAAAGAUUGAAUUAGAUUUUGAAUUAGAGUAUGAACUGCCAUAUGAUAUUAUGUCCAUUCAACAUGCUGAAAGUCAUGCAGUGUUAUUUACAGGAAAUCUUGACGAAAACGAUGAAUCUUCUGAUGAUUUAAAAAUUGCACUUCCUAUACCUGAAAUUGAUAUUAUAGAAGAUUGGAAGGUACACAUAAGAGUUCAUCAAGGUAAAGAAUUAUGUGGAAAAGAUUGCAGACCAUAUGUAAGAUUACGGAUAUUAGAUGAGAAAAGUUCAACAAAUGUUAGCGAUUCUGCUAAUCCAGUUUGGGAAGAAGAGUUUAUGUUUACCUUCAAAAUUAUUAGAGCAAAGUUACUCGAUUCAGUUCUGUAUAUAAAAGCUAUAACAUCAAAAAAUUUUAAAAAAGAAAAAAUUGGUUCUGCAAAGUUUGAUUUAUGGACUAUUUACAAUCAAACAAACCAUUGUAUUCAAAAGAAAUGGGCUGUUCUUCAGGAAGUUAAUUCUGAAGAGAUUAAAGGAUACAUUCUAGUUAGUAUUUCAAUAUAUCAGACUGAAGAACCUGUUCAGCUUGCAUUAAAUGAUGAAAUUGACUUAGAAAGUAAUCUUUUAUUACCAAUCGGAUAUACUGCACCUCGAGAUGUUUAUAGUUACAGCAUUACUGUAUAUAAAGCUGAAUCAGUUGCAGCAGCAAAACAUUCAAUUAUUACUGCUAAAGAAAAAGUUAAUAUUUCUCAUCCUUUUAUCAAGAUUGAUUUUGGUGGCGAAUCAGAAUCAACUAAACAUGUUAAAAAGUCAGUGGACCCUGUGUUUAACCAAGUUAUUGAAUUUCGAGAUUACUUUCCUCCAAUGUACAAGCGAAUAAAAAUUUCAUUAAAUUGCAAACAAGGUGGUCUGGAGUCAGAUGAGGUUCUAGCCACACAUUUUAUUGAUUUGUCUGAUAUUUCAUAUUAUGGGGAAGAUAUUGAUUGGAUAUAUGCUGAUUAUGGUAUAGUUACUUUAGAUGUUGUGUACCCUCCAACCUUUGGACCAUGUUGGAUCAAUCUCUAUGGAUCAACAACAGACUUUGAAAGGCACGAACACAUGAACCAAGGAUUUUCUAAAGGGAAUUCCUAUCGAGGUCGAGUCCUUAUUGAAAUUCAAUCAAAUCGACUUGAAAACCUGAAUUCGAGUGAUAUGAAAAUCUGUAAAAAUGUAGAGAGUUAUAUAGAAGAAAAGCUGAAACGAGAAAAUUUUUUAUUAUUUGCUACUUUUUAUGAAGCAUCUAUGUUAGAAGAAAAACACAAAGGAAAAGAAAUAUGCUUUGAGGUUAGUAUUGGCUCAUGUGGCAUACACGAUCUCAAUCAAAGUUCUAUUAAUACAAAAAUAACCAUUGGAAAUAAUGAUGGAUCUAAAAACAGUUAUAGCCUUGGUUUAGAACCAAUCGAAGACAGAUGGCCAUUCACUGAACCUGUAAAAGCAACAUUGGCUUCAUCAAAGAAUUCAUGUUUUUUAGAUUUUGGAACAUCAAAGCCCAAUGUUUUUCUUGAAUUUAAUAAAUUAGAUGAUUCGUUUCGCUUACACCUAAUAAUUGUACUUAAAAAGAUAUACAACAAAAUUGACAAUUGUUUAUCUAUUGUAGACAAAACCGCUACAACAGCAGUUAAUGUAUCAACAGCGGCUAUUACUCAGGCAUUUGUCACUUUCUCAAAACAAGUUCAGGAAGUUUUACUUUAUUAUAAAGCAUUGUUAAACAGCAACACUUUAAAUAAAUUAGAUGAAUUUUUGGCCAAAAGAAGAAUGCAGACUCUGGAACAAUUGACAAAACUGUUUGGUGACCUUAGAGUCCAAGAAGCAACAAUUGCUCAAAAAAUAGAAGUUCUCAAAAUUAUUAAAAUGCAGUUAGGAACACUUGUUAAUGAUCCUCAGCAAAGUUUUCCAGAUAUUUUUAUAUGGAUGAUUGCAGAUAAAAAGAGAAUUGCCUACACAAGAGUAAAAGCAGAAAGUGUAUUGAACUCACAAGAUUUAUUUUUUUGUGCGCCAUAUACUGGAAAAUUGCAGUCAUUGUUCUUACAAUUUUAUAAGUUUGAUAAACAAGAACGCAACCAAAGAUUUAUUCAAGGUAAAAUUGAAAUUCGUAUAUGGUUGGGUUGUUCCACAAACAAACCUGUAAAUUACUUGCCAUCAGAUGAUAGUUUUGAACUGCCAAUAGAUCGAAGCACUCCAUAUCCUCGACAUCUAGAAUAUAAAAGUGCUCAAAAAUACAUUCUUCAUGCUCAUAUUUUUCAAGGUCGAACUGUUUUUGGAUCUGAUGAAAAUGGCUUGUCGGAUCCUUUUGCAAGAGUUAUGUUUGGAAAUAACAUGGAAGAAACAUGGGCUGUUCCAAAAACUCGCAUGCCAUUGUGGGAUCAAAGUUUUGUUUUUGAUAAAGUGACAUUGUAUGGAACUAACUCAAAUAUGCCUUCACCUGUUGUUUUAAUUACAAUAUUUGAUAAGGAUUCAAAUGGGGAAGAGUUCAUUGGACAAGCUAUUGCUUCUCCAAGACUUAUAACCAAUGGUUAUGUACCUGCUAAAUUACAGCUGAUACCACUAUAUCUAGGUAAACAGUCUGUUGGGGAUAUACUUGCUUCAUUUGAAUUGUUUCCAGUUGAUUAUGAUAAUUUGCCAGAUCUUCCUUCACCUGUGAGUCGAAACCAAGCAUAUGCCAAAGAGCCUGUUAUGUGUAUACCAGUUCCUAGGGCCAUUCGGCCUGUUCUUGUUUCUUAUAAAGUUGAGUUAUUGUUUUGGGGUUUGCGAGACUUAGAAAAAAAUUCUGGUAUUUUUGGAAAAAGGGUUCAAAGACCUCAAGUUUUUGCAGAUUUUUCAUACAAUGCCAUGUUACCUAACGGAAAAUCAGUCAACAAGUUAGAAUCAACUAUAUGUAGAAAUGCAAUUCGUAAUCCAAAUUUUGAAAAUCCUAUUCUCAUAUUUGACAUGGAUCUUCCAGAGAACACGGCAUGGAUGCCUGACUGCACAUUUAUGGUUGUUGAUCAUAGCCAGUUUACUAACAAUAAAAGGAGUCAAUUUUUUGCAACUCACACCACUCAUACAAUUGAUAGAUUUAUUUUCAAUGCUGAAGAGUUUAAAACCACUUACUUUGAAGGUUCAGCACCUGGUUCUAAGAUAUCUCUUUCUUAUAUGCCAAAAAAAAAGGUUACCAAAGAAACUAUAAUAAACAUUGAACCUGUUGACAAUGAAGAAGUAGUAGAUUGGUGGACACGUUUUUAUGCAAGUGAAAAAUCUCAAAUAACUGAUGAAGAAAAUGAUCUCGUAAAUAUUACAAUUUACAAUCACGAGUUAGAGAAAGAGUUUAAUGACUUUCAUGAUCUUUUCACAACUUUCCCACUUGUUCGAGGUAAACAAGAUGCUUUCAAAAAUGAAUGGGAUCCUCGGAGAGUUAAAGGAAAACUUAAGGGAGCCAUUCGGUUAUGGCGAAAUGAAGAUCUAAUAAAAUAUAAAAGACAGCUAAAACCAAAUGAAGGAACAUUUAGUUAUUUACCUCCAAAAGCACCAGUUAAAGUUUGUGUUCGCAUCUAUUGUAUAAUGGCAUUGGGACUGACUGCAAAAGAUAUAAUCUCAGGCAAAUCUGAUCCAUAUAUAAUAGUGCAGUUUGGAAAAAGCAAAUCAGGAAACCCAAGCAAGCAUGUUGCCAACAAUUUAAAUCCAGAAUUUGGAGAGGUACAUGAAGUUGAAGGAACUAUUCCAUUUGAUACUACACUUACUGUACAGGUAUAUGAUUUUGACCGUGGUGCAAUUCGAAAUGAGCUUAUUGGUCAAACUCAAAUAGAUAUUGAGAAUAGGUACUUUACUAAAUAUAGAGCAAAGUGUGGACUGCCACAAGAAUAUAAGAAGCAAGGUGUUGCUAAAUGGCGAGAUAUUCAAUCACCAACAGAGAUAAUAUCAGAGCUUGCAUUAAGGUGCAAGAUUGAUGUAGAUUACAAAGAUUCAGAUUCUGACCAAGAGGAAAUUGCAUUUGCAGCUUUAAAAAAAUUUCAAAGAACAGACUUUAAGUUUGUUCCAGAACAUGUGGAAACAAGAAACCUUACGCAUCCUAAUCAUCCUGAAGUAUCUCAGGGAAAACUUUUAAUGUGGGCAGACAUUUUUCCUGCUGGUAAUCUUCCUCCCCCUGUCGACAUUGCAAAACCAAAGCCAGUAAAAUAUGAAAUUCGUAUUAUUAUAUGGAACUGUUCAAAUGUCCCAUGCAUUGAUAAAAGUAUUUUGCUAGGGAACAUGCCAACAAGUGAUAUUUACGUUAAGGGUUGGCUGAGUGGAAUGCCUGGAAAGUCUCAAAAGACUGACAUACAUUAUAGAUCAACAGAUGGCAGUGGAAUGUUCAACUGGAGGUUUAUAUUUCAGUUUGAUUAUUACCAAGCAAAGAGAAUGUUUAUAUUCAAAAAAAAGUUAUCUCCAUUAUCAAUUGAUGAGACAGAAUUUUAUUUCCCAGCUGAGCUAAUUCUUGAAUGUAGAGAGGCUGAUCUUAUUGGCUCAAGAAAAUUUGGAAGGCUUAAUAUUGAUUUGCUAAAGUUGCCUCCAUACUAUAUCAAGUCAAGUGGAUGGACUUUAGAAGACUGGGAAGAAAGACUGAAAAACAAAAAAGAAAAGAAAAUGUCUUUAUUUAAAUACAGAAAUUUUAAAGGAUGGUUGCCUUUUAUGGUUCCUGAUGAAAAUGAUCCUAAAAAAAAUGUUGAACAGGGUCGUGUUGAAAUUGAAAUUGAACUGGUUACUGAAGAUGAAGCUAAAGAUCGUCCAGUUGGAAUUAGGAGAGAGGAGCCACAAGCACUUCCUAAGCCUGAUCGUCCUGAAGAGAGCUUGGGAUUGUUUAUGAAUCCUUUUAAAAUGGCGAGAUUGUUGUGGAAAAGCUACAAGUGGUUUAUUUUUAAAGUAUUAUUAUUGUUGCUUCUGUUACUUCUAAUUGCUUUAUUCAUUUAUGCUUUCCCGUAUGAAUAUCUACAUUGUUAAAAUUGUAAUUACAUUGUGUGUUAAAGCAUAAUAUAAAUUCUAUGCAUGGCCUUUGGGGUUAUCUUGCAAAGAAAACGAUUGGGAUAUAGAGAGUGAAUAUUAAGCAAGAUAUCAGAUACCGAUAUAGUAUAGUUUGCUGAUACCUAAUUGCUGUUACAACAAGCUGUCCUUUUAACAUUGUUUUUAAAGGGCUUUAAAAACUAAAGAGUUUUUAAUUAAAUCUAUUUUAUACAACGUCAAUACUAGAAUGCUACUUUAUUCUGGAAAAUAUUUACACCUUGAUCUCACAGAACGGAUCCCAUUCCAACAGAUUUAAUACCAACGGAUCCAAUACCAACGGAUCCAAUAAGCAAUUUUUGAUCAAUGUUUUUUACGAUAAAAUUUUCUGAAUAAAUUUUUGGCUAAAACAUUCUGAUGAACCUUUAUGUCGUUUUUACGAUAAACUUUUAGAAACUCUUAGAGUUUCUAGUUACUUUGAUUUUAUGACGAAUAACUUAACGAAAUAUUAUUUAUAAAAAUUAUGUUAAUAAGAAAUUAUUAUUUAUUGUU